UACGUAGGGUGCAAGCGUUGUCCGGAAUUAUUGGGCGUAAAGGGCUCGUAGGCGGUUUGUCGCGUCGGGAGUGAAAACUCAGGGCUUAACCCUGAGCCUGCUUCCGAUACGGGCAGACUAGAGGUAUGCAGGGGAGAAUGGAAUUCCUGGUGUAGCGGUGAAAUGCGCAGAUAUCAGGAGGAACACCGGUGGCGAAGGCGGUUCUCUGGGCAUUACCUGACGCUGAGGAGCGAAAGCGUGGGUAGCAAACAGG
rnacentral:rRNA from 1 species